UGGGGAAUAUUGCACAAUGGGCGCAAGCCUGAUGCAGCCAUGCCGCGUGUGUGAAGAAGGCCUUCGGGUUGUAAAGCACUUUCAGCGGGGAGGAAGGCGUUAAGGUUAAUAACCUUGGCGAUUGACGUUACCCGCAGAAGAAGCACCGGCUAACUCCGUGCCAGCAGCCGCGGUAAUACGGAGGGUGCAAGCGUUAAUCGGAAUUACUGGGCGUAAAGCGCACGCAGGCGGUCUGUCAAGUCGGAUGUGAAAUCCCCGGGCUCAACCUGGGAACUGCAUUCGAAACUGGCAGGCUAGAGUCUUGUAGAGGGGGGUAGAAUUCCAGGUGUAGCGGUGAAAUGCGUAGAGAUCUGGAGGAAUACCGGUGGCGGAGGCGGCCCCCUGGACAAAGACUGACGCUCAGGUGCGAAAGCGUGGGAGCAAACAGG
rnacentral:rRNA from 1 species